rnacentral:rRNA from 2 species
CGGGCUGGACCUCUCGGGGUUACAGCCUUGCUGAAUUAUUCACCCUUGUCUUUUGCGUACUUCUUGUUUCCUUGGUGGGUUCGCCCACCACUAGGACAAACAUAAACCUUUUGUAAUUGCAAUCAGCGUCAGUAACAAAUUAAUAAUUACAACUUUCAACAACGGAUCUCUUGGUUCUGGCAUCGAUGAAGAACGCAGCGAAAUGCGAUAAGUAGUGUGAAUUGCAGAAUUCAGUGAAUCAUCGAAUCUUUGAACGCACAUUGCGCCCUUUGGUAUUCCAAAGGGCAUGCCUGUUCGAGCGUCAUUUGUACCCUCAAGCUUUGCUUGGUGUUGGGCGUCUUGUCUCUAGCUUUGCUGGAGACUCGCCUUAAAGUAAUUGGCAGCCGGCCUACUGGUUUCGGAGCGCAGCACAAGUCGCACUCUCUAUCAGCAAAGGUCUAGCAUCCAUUAAGCCUUUUUUUCAACUUUUGACCUCGGAUCAGGUAGGGAUACCCGCUGAACUUAA